GUAGGGUAUGUUGUCUCUCGCCUCGUAGUUGAAGAAACCAAUGCUAACGUGCCUUUAGUGAACCUGCGGAAGGAUCAUUACCGAGAUAGGGUUCCUCUGGGAGCCCGACCUCCAACCCUUUGUCUACCAAACCACUGUUGCCUCGGCGGGCCGCCGGUUUCCCCUGGGAAGCCGCCGUCGGCCUCGGCUUUCGAGUGCCCGCCGCGGGACCUUUGAAACUCUUAAAAACGUCUUCUGAGUGGAUAUCAAU
rnacentral:misc_RNA from 1 species